UACAGAGGUCUCAAGCGUUUGUUCGGGAUUCAUUGGGCGUAAAGGGUGCGUAGGCGGCGCGGUAAGUCGGGUGUGAAAUCUCGGGGCUUAACUCCGAAACUGCAUUCGAUACUGCCGUGCUUGAGGACUGGAGAGGAGACUGGAAUUUACGGUGUAGCGGUGAAAUGCGUAGAUAUCGUAAGGAAGACCAGUGGCGAAGGCGGGUCUCUGGACAGUUCCUGACGCUG
rnacentral:rRNA from 1 species